rnacentral:rRNA from 1 species
UGGGGAAUUUUGGACAAUGGGGGAAACCCUGAUCCAGCCAUCCCGCGUGUGCGAUGAAGGCCUUCGGGUUGUAAAGCACUUUUGGCAGGAAAGAAACGUCAUGGGUUAAUACCCCGUGAAACUGACGGUACCUGCAGACUAAGCACCGGCUAACUACGUGCCAGCAGCCGCGGUAAUACGUAGGGUGCAAGCGUUAAUCGGAAUUACUGAGCGUAAAGCGUGCGCAGGCUGUUCGGAAAGAAAGAUGUGAACUCCCAGAGCUCAACUUUGGAACUGCAUUUUUAACUACCGAGCUAGAGUGUGUCAGAGGGAGGUGGAAUUGCGCGUGUAGCAGUGAAAUGCGUAGAUAUGCGGAGGAACACCGAUGGCGAAGGCAGCCUCCUGGGAUAACACUGACGCUCAUGCACGAAAGCGUGGGGAGCAAACAGG